rnacentral:rRNA from 2 species
UUAAGCGACUAAGCGUACACGGUGGAUGCCCUGGCAGUCAGAGGCGAUGAAGGACGUGCUAAUCUGCGAUAAGCGUCGGUAAGGUGAUAUGAACCGUUAUAACCGGCGAUUUCCGAAUGGGGAAACCCAGUGUGAUUCGUCACACUAUCAUUAACUGAAUCCAUAGGUUAAUGAGGCGAACCGGGGGAACUGAAACAUCUAAGUACCCCGAGGAAAAGAAAUCAACCGAGAUUCCCCCAGUAGCGGCGAGCGAACGGGGAGGAGCCCAGAGCCUGAAUCAGUGUGUGUGUUAGUGGAAGCGUCUGGAAAGGCGCGCGAUACAGGGUGACAGCCCCGUACACAAAAAUGCACAUAUUGUGAGCUCGAUGAGUAGGGCGGGACACGUGGUAUCCUGUCUGAAUAUGGGGGGACCAUCCUCCAAGGCUAAAUACUCCUGACUGACCGAUAGUGAACCAGUACCGUGAGGGAAAGGCGAAAAGAACCCCGGCGAGGGGAGUGAAAAAGAACCUGAAACCGUGUACGUACAAGCAGUGGGAGCACGCUUAGGCGUGUGACUGCGUACCUUUUGUAUAAUGGGUCAGCGACUUAUAUUCUGUAGCAAGGUUAACCGAAUAGGGGAGCCGAAGGGAAACCGAGUCUUAACUGGGCGUUAAGUUGCAGGGUAUAGACCCGAAACCCGGUGAUCUAGCCAUGGGCAGGUUGAAGGUUGGGUAACACUAACUGGAGGACCGAACCGACUAAUGUUGAAAAAUUAGCGGAUGACUUGUGGCUGGGGGUGAAAGGCCAAUCAAACCGGGAGAUAGCUGGUUCUCCCCGAAAGCUAUUUAGGUAGCGCCUCGUGAAUUCAUCUCCGGGGGUAGAGCACUGUUUCGGCAAGGGGGUCAUCCCGACUUACCAACCCGAUGCAAACUGCGAAUACCGGAGAAUGUUAUCACGGGAGACACACGGCGGGUGCUAACGUCCGUCGUGAAGAGGGAAACAACCCAGACCGCCAGCUAAGGUCCCAAAGUCAUGGUUAAGUGGGAAACGAUGUGGGAAGGCCCAGACAGCCAGGAUGUUGGCUUAGAAGCAGCCAUCAUUUAAAGAAAGCGUAAUAGCUCACUGGUCGAGUCGGCCUGCGCGGAAGAUGUAACGGGGCUAAACCAUGCACCGAAGCUGCGGCAGCGACGCUGAUGCGUUGUUGGGUAGGGGAGCGUUCUGUAAGCCUGCGAAGGUGUGCUGUGAGGCAUGCUGGAGGUAUCAGAAGUGCGAAUGCUGACAUAAGUAACGAUAAAGCGGGUGAAAAGCCCGCUCGCCGGAAGACCAAGGGUUCCUGUCCAACGUUAAUCGGGGCAGGGUGAGUCGACCCCUAAGGCGAGGCCGAAAGGCGUAGUCGAUGGGAAACAGGUUAAUAUUCCUGUACUUGGUGUUACUGCGAAGGGGGGACGGAGAAGGCUAUGUUGGCCGGGCGACGGUUGUCCCGGUUUAAGCGUGUAGGCUGGUUUUCCAGGCAAAUCCGGAAAAUCAAGGCUGAGGCGUGAUGACGAGGCACUACGGUGCUGAAGCAACAAAUGCCCUGCUUCCAGGAAAAGCCUCUAAGCAUCAGGUAACAUCAAAUCGUACCCCAAACCGACACAGGUGGUCAGGUAGAGAAUACCAAGGCGCUUGAGAGAACUCGGGUGAAGGAACUAGGCAAAAUGGUGCCGUAACUUCGGGAGAAGGCACGCUGAUAUGUAGGUGAGGUCCCUCGCGGAUGGAGCUGAAAUCAGUCGAAGAUACCAGCUGGCUGCAACUGUUUAUUAAAAACACAGCACUGUGCAAACACGAAAGUGGACGUAUACGGUGUGACGCCUGCCCGGUGCCGGAAGGUUAAUUGAUGGGGUUAGCGCAAGCGAAGCUCUUGAUCGAAGCCCCGGUAAACGGCGGCCGUAACUAUAACGGUCCUAAGGUAGCGAAAUUCCUUGUCGGGUAAGUUCCGACCUGCACGAAUGGCGUAAUGAUGGCCAGGCUGUCUCCACCCGAGACUCAGUGAAAUUGAACUCGCUGUGAAGAUGCAGUGUACCCGCGGCAAGACGGAAAGACCCCGUGAACCUUUACUAUAGCUUGACACUGAACAUUGAGCCUUGAUGUGUAGGAUAGGUGGGAGGCUUGGAAGUGUGGACGCCAGUCUGCAUGGAGCCGACCUUGAAAUACCACCCUUUAAUGUUUGAUGUUCUAACGUUGACCCGUAAUCCGGGUUGCGGACAGUGUCUGGUGGGUAGUUUGACUGGGGCGGUCUCCUCCUAAAGAGUAACGGAGGAGCACGAAGGUUGGCUAAUCCUGGUCGGACAUCAGGAGGUUAGUGCAAUGGCAUAAGCCAGCUUGACUGCGAGCGUGACGGCGCGAGCAGGUGCGAAAGCAGGUCAUAGUGAUCCGGUGGUUCUGAAUGGAAGGGCCAUCGCUCAACGGAUAAAAGGUACUCCGGGGAUAACAGGCUGAUACCGCCCAAGAGUUCAUAUCGACGGCGGUGUUUGGCACCUCGAUGUCGGCUCAUCACAUCCUGGGGCUGAAGUAGGUCCCAAGGGUAUGGCUGUUCGCCAUUUAAAGUGGUACGCGAGCUGGGUUUAGAACGUCGUGAGACAGUUCGGUCCCUAUCUGCCGUGGGCGCUGGAGAACUGAGGGGGGCUGCUCCUAGUACGAGAGGACCGGAGUGGACGCAUCACUGGUGUUCGGGUUGUCAUGCCAAUGGCACUGCCCGGUAGCUAAAUGCGGAAGAGAUAAGUGCUGAAAGCAUCUAAGCACGAAACUUGCCCCGAGAUGAGUUCUCCCUGACUCCUUGAGAGUCCUGAAGGAACGUUGAAGACGACGACGUUGAUAGGCCGGGUGUGUAAGCGCAGCGAUGCGUUGAGCUAACCGGUACUAAUGAACCGUGAGGCUUAACCUU